AUGGAGGUGAUGAGCCUUUCCCCAGAUGAUCGACAUUGAUUAUACUGUGCGUUUGUUGUAUUUUCUCUUUCUAUUAGAGAAUCUCAAGCUAGAUUUCUGAUCCAU
rnacentral:snoRNA from 1 species